rnacentral:rRNA from 1 species
UAUCUCUGUAGAGUCUGCAUAUCAAUAAGCGGAGGAAAAGAAACUAACAUAGGAUUCCCUCAGUAACGGCGAGUGAAGCGGGAAGAGCUCAAAUUUGAAAUCUUCAAGGUUUUACCUUGACGAAUUGUAGUUUAAAGAAGUGUUUUCUGUUGAAGUUUCGGUAAAAGUUCUUUGGAAUAGGACAUCAUAGAGGGUGAGAAUCCCGUAUUUGACCAUUAUUUUCAGCUGUGUGAUACACUUUCAAAGAGUCGGAUUGUUUGGGAAUGCAGUCCAAAAUGGGUGGUAAAUUUCAUCUAAAGCUAAAUACUGGCGAGAGACCGAUAGCGAACAAGUACCGUGAGGGAAAGAUGAAAAGAACUUUGAAAAGAGAGUUAAACAGUACGUGAAAUUGUCAAAAGGGAAGCGUUUGACACCAGUGUUGUUUUCUCGAAAAUCAAUUAAAAAAGUCUGGAUUUUGUGUUGUAUUGACCUUUAAUCAGCUUUCUGCACUCUUUUCUUGUCUUUUUUUAAUGCACUUUUCGUUUAACAAGUCAACAUCAGUUUCUUUUGUUGUAAAAGGGUCAUUGGAAGGUGGCUUUCUUUUCGGAGAAAGUGUUUAUAGCCUUUGCUCUCUGCAAUCGGAGAGAUUGAGGUCUGCAGCGUAGAUCCUCGGGGUUAGAUACAUUUGUGCUAAGUUAUAGCCUUUCAUAGACAACUUGUUGACUAUGAUCAGUCAUGUAGCUUACUCGCUUAUGCUAUUUUACCUACGCUUAGGAUGUUGAUAGUCACAGCGUGUAC